rnacentral:rRNA from 1 species
GAUGAACGCUGGCGGCGUGCUUAACACAUGCAAGUCGAACGAAGCACUCUAUCUGAUUUUCUUCGGAAAUGAAGAUUUUGUGACUGAGUGGCGGACGAGUGAGUAACGCGUGGGUAACCUGCCUCAUACAGGGGGAUAACAGUUGGAAACGACUGCUAAUACCGCAUAAGCGCACAGUAUCGCAUGAUACAGUGUGAAAAACUCCGGUGGUAUGAGAUGGACCCGCGUCUGAUUAGCUAGUUGGUGGGGCAACGGCCUACCAAGGCGACGAUCAGUAGCCGACCUGAGAGGGUGACCGGCCACAUUGGGACUGAGACACGGCCCAAACUCCUACGGGAGGCAGCAGUGGGGAAUAUUGCACAAUGGGGGAAACCCUGAUGCAGCGACGCCGCGUGAACGAAGAAGUAUUUCGGUAUGUAAAGUUCUAUCAGCAGGGAAGAUAAUGACGGUACCUGACUAAGAAGCACCGGCUAAAUACGUGCCAGCCGCCGCCGUAA